GGACAAGAGCGCACAGAAGAUCCCGUUGUUUUGAUAGAAAUAGGUCAAUUGUUGCUCUAACAGAACGAUUUGAGGAAAAUUUGACCUGCUCUGACAAAUUAACACGUCGAGUAGCUCGUUAGUCGCUACUUCUCUGAUCGAGUCGCUCGGGAAACGGCGACUUGAUCCAGCUAAUCCGAAGUGCGUUGUGAUAUCAGGUCAAAAGGGAUGCCGCUGCAGACAGACUCCGACGGACGACAACAGUCUCUGGAUUUGAUUUCGUCGCAUUUAAUCGGGAAGAGCAGCUUUUGUAUAAAUUUAAAAAGCCUCAGAAUAACCCAUCCUCGACCGAGUUCUGUAAGAUGCUGUAAGAUGAGUAGAAAUUAAUAGUUCCGCUGUGACGUGAAUAAAAGGGACGUUUUUAACAUUCGGCAGGCUAACUGCUAACGCUAGCUGGACGGGGAUAAAGCGGGGGGAACGUUAAUCUUUAGCGUCUCGGAGUGAUCGUAGGUUUGAAGACGACGAACGUCUGUGAAUUGACUUGUUUUCUUCGUCCUCUGCUGAAAAUAGUGCUCGUGAGAAAUGAAGCUGUUGGAAAACUCCAGCUUUGAGGCACUCAGCUCCAGGCUGUGUGUAGAAACAGGAGAGUCUCACAUUCUUGGCAGGAUUGAGAGCUACUCCUGUAAGAUGGCAGGCGAUGAUAAGCACAUGUUCAAGCAGUUCUGCCAGGAGGGGGAGCCACAUGUCCUGGAGGCUCUCUCUCCCCCACAGUCCACCAGCACCACCAGCCCUUCACAACUGGGGAAGAGCAGUGAAGAUGGGGAAAACCCUCUGAGUGACAAGUGUUGCAGAAAGACACUUUUCUACCUCAUCACCACACUCAACGAGUCCUUCAGGCCGGACUAUGACUUCAGCGCCGCACGAGCCCACGAGUUCAGCCGAGAGCCAAGUGUAAACUGGGUGGCAAACGCAGUGAACAGCAGCUUGUUCUCGGUUGUUGGAGAGGAGUUUAACUCUCUGGGGCCAGAGCUGUGGAAUGCCAUCGACCAGGAAAUCAACCUGCAAGGCUGCGACAUUUACAGCUACAACCCUGAUCUGGACUCAGACCCCUUUGGUGAAGAAGGAAGCCUCUGGUCCUUCAACUAUUUCUUCUACAACAAAAAGCUCAAGAGGAUUGUGUUCUUCACCUGUCGCUCUGUCAGCAAAUACCACUCUUCAUCACAUCAUCUGUCAUGUCUGCAGUGUCCUGAGCGGCUAUGGUCGUGAUUCUCUGGACAAUGAGCUGGACAUGGAGCUUGAUGAGGAGGAAAUGGAUGGCUUCACUGAGGACAGGUGCCCCAGAGCUCUCUGUGUGUAAAUUUUCCCAGAUUUACACACCUCGGCCAAAUACUAUCCGGGAUGUUUUCCUCCCAUUCUCCACUCCAUGCUACCAUUCUUAUUAUUUCUGGGACAUUGUUGCCUCCUUCAAAGCCAUGUUCACUAUUUUAGAUAAACGCAUGUCUGAAGUCUUCUGUUCUGCUGGCAGUGAACUAUGAUCCAUAAAGUUUUUUUUUCCUCCUCGACAUUGCGGUGAUUUUGAGCUCCUUCAUUCUCCAGUGUGGUUUCUGACCUGAAGCUCCGUCCAGGCCCAAGUAGAACACAUUUAUACGCAGACGCACACUUGCCACGUUUCCAAAGAGACCCAGUUAUGGACUAUUGAGAAAGGUCUUUUUAUGGAAGUGUGGCCAAAGAUGGACUGUAAGCGAGUCUGAAGUUGUUGCUCAUGAUGUCAAAGAAGAGUCCAGAUGACACCAGCACCAAUGAAAACUGAUAAAGUUUAUAAUAAUAUUCCGACCUGGGGCGGGGCUGGGUCCAUAUAAAUAAUAUAGUUAAGGCUAAUGAGCACAAAGCUUGUUCAUCCUUUGCUAUUUUGUGUUGCUUUAAUGUGACAGUGACGUUACUGUGAGAACUCUUUUUAGCACUGAGUUUGUAACAUUUCUAUGUUGUAUUAUUGAAUCUGUACCCGUUAGGAGAGCAAGGCAGCUUAGAAAACAUAUCAGCCUUUAUUGAAUGCUUUUAUUCACCCGAGUUGUAUGCUUCAUUUUAUAUCUACCAUCUACAUAAAGCAUUACAUUACCCAUUAACUCCCUAACUUUUCUUGGUUGGCGCUCACUUUUAAAUGUCUGUCUUGCCAGUGUUUUCUUUGCUCAUUCCCUCAGUGGAAACGAGGCAUUGAAAAGUGAAUGUAUAAUAGUAACUUUAGAGGGGAAAAAAGAAAAUCUAUUGAGAAAAAUUGCUGAUGUGCUCGGCAUUCUUUUGUAGAAAUUGACCUUUUUACGUUCCUUAAAGUGAGUAGGACUGCCAUGUCUUUUCUUGACCGCUUUUCCAUUGGCCGAUAUUAAUGUUAAUAAACUAAUGUUUGAAA